CAGCAGCCGCGGGAACACCAGCACCUCGAGUGGUCAGGAGGUUUAUUGGGCCUAAAGCAUCCGUAGCCGGUUGUUUAAGUUUUCGGUUAAAUCUAUGCGCUUAACGUAUAGGCUGCCGAAAAUACUGGACAGCUAGGGAGUGGGAGAGGUACACGGUACUCAAUAGGAAGGGGUAAAAUCCUUUGAUCUGUUGAUGACCACCUGUGGCGAAGGCGGUGUACCAGAACACGUUCGACGGUGAGGGAUGAAAGCUGGGGGAGCAAACCGGAUUAGAUACCCCCGUAGUCCCUGUCUCUUAUAA
rnacentral:rRNA from 1 species